rnacentral:rRNA from 1 species
CCGCAUGGUUCGANAUUGAAAGGCGGCUUCGGCUGUCACUUAUGGAUGGACCCGCGUCGCAUUAGCUAGUUGGUGAGGUAACGGCUCACCAAGGCAACGAUGCGUAGCCGACCUGAGAGGGUGAUCGGCCACACUGGGACUGAGACACGGCCCAGACUCCUACGGGAGGCAGCAGUAGGGAAUCUUCCGCAAUGGACGAAAGUCUGACGGAGCAACGCCGCGUGAGUGAUGAAGGCUUUCGGGUCGUAAAACUCUGUUGUUAGGGAAGAACAAGUGCUAGUUGAAUAAGCUGGCACCUUGACGGUACCUAACCAGAAAGCCACGGCUAACUACGUGCCAGCAGCCGCGGUAAUACGUAGGUGGCAAGCGUUAUCCGGAAUUAUUGGGCGUAAAGCGCGCGCAGGUGGUUUCUUAAGUCUGAUGUGAAAGCCCNCGGCUCAACCGUGGAGGGUCAUUGGAAACUGGGAGACUUGAGUGCAGAAGAGGAAAGUGGAAUUCCAUGUGUAGCGGUGAAAUGCGUAGAGAUAUGGAGGAACNCNNGUGGCGAAGGCGACUUUCUGGUCUGUAACUGACACUGAGG